AGAAAUAUAUGCCUACUUCCAUAGCUCAGUUUAUAAAAUGGAAGAGUGAAGAGAUUCUAUUUACAAAGUUCUGAUUUUACUCUAGCCAGGAAACAUUAAAAAAUUAUCUGUAAGCUCUGUAAAGGCAGGAAUUGAAUCUUUAUUGAUCUGUGUGCUGCACUUGGUGAGUAAUAAAAAUAUAUUUGUUGAAUGAAUUAAAUUAGUGACUCUUUAGAAAAGGAGAGUGAAGAACAUGGGGCAUGCAGGUAGGGAGCUCAGGUGACCUGGUUUUCCUGUAACUGAGAUGUUUUUCUGGGAUUGGGGGA
rnacentral:lncRNA from 1 species